GGCGUCGUACCCAAGUGGCUAAGGGACCGGUUUGCAAAACCGUUAUUCGCCGGUUCGAAUCCGGCCGACGCCU
rnacentral:tRNA from 1 species